UGCAGUCAAUGAUGAAGCCAUUAGAUUUUAAUGACUUACCAGUGAUUAUCACAACUAAUUCACCAUCUUUCGGCUGAGAUUACU